GAUGAACGCUGGCGGCGUGCCUAAUACAUGCAAGUCGAGCGAACAGACGAGGAGCUUGCUCCUCUGACGUUAGCGGCGGACGGGUGAGUAACACGUGGAUAACCUACCUAUAAGACUGGGAUAACUUCGGGAAACCGGAGCUAAUACCGGAUAAUAUAUUGAACCGCAUGGUUCAAUAGUGAAAGACGGUUUUGCUGUCACUUAUAGAUGGAUCCGCGCCGCAUUAGCUAGUUGGUAAGGUAACGGCUUACCAAGGCAACGAUGCGUAGCCGACCUGAGAGGGUGAUCGGCCACACUGGAACUGAGACACGGUCCAGACUCCUACGGGAGGCAGCAGUAGGGAAUCUUCCGCAAUGGGCGAAAGCCUGACGGAGCAACGCCGCGUGAGUGAUGAAGGUCUUCGGAUCGUAAAACUCUGUUAUUAGGGAAGAACAAAUGUGUAACUAACUAUGCACGUCUUGACGGUACCUAAUCAGAAAGCCACGGCUAACUACGUG
rnacentral:rRNA from 1 species